rnacentral:lncRNA from 1 species
CGCAUCGUGAUAUGCGGUUGGUAAUCGUUCAUGAUGGUUAUGGUAUAUCUGGGUUGACUGACCGACCAUAUAUCGGUAGAACCGACCAUAUGUCGGUAGAAUCUAUGAGCGACCAUCGGUUACUAGUUCUGUUAUGUCGAUGGUAUAAGUCGUCCGCUGUCGAUCGGUAGUAGUCGAAUCAUUUGUCGGUCAGUCAGUAAUAGAUCAGUGAGGUGUGUUCGAUUGGUCGGUUGAGAGU